ensembl:lncRNA
AUUUUUCUUUGUUUUUGUUUGUUUUUCUCUCCUUGGGUUCUAAACAGAUGACCAUACUGAGCACAUUUAUUAGAAUUACAAUUUAAGUUAAAAUAAAAUCUGCAUUACUGUAUGUGGCAGGAUGAAUGUUAUCCUUCGGUCCAACCCACUUUCAGCCUGGCCCAUUAGGGGGCGCUGGUAUAAAUAGUGGCCAUUUGAGUGUCUCUGCGUCGCUUGCCUGUGAUCUCCUUUUUGGUCACCUGACUUCCCCUCGGCGUGGUGGAGAUCAUUUGCGGGUUAUUCUUCUGAAGCCUCCAUCGCGGCUGGUCGUAGCUAUAGAAGCCUCCUCUGAGCUAUUCUGCUUACGUUCUGUGACCCGGCUUACUUGGAAGUGUGGGCCUUAGUUUUGCGCCAAGCUACGCGAACUGAAGUGCUGCUGUUUUGCCUUGCUGUGCUUUUACCGUCUGUUCCCGUUGUGAGAAUUCUUUCCCUGCUGCUGUCAGCUUUUACAGUGGACGUCGGCGUGGACAACGGCCAUAUGCAUGCCGGUUAUCGGAGUCAGCUGGCGUGCAUAUUGAUUGACUGUUAACUUAUCGUCGUGUGGACGGCAAGUUGGAGCAAUGCGGAGUGCCGACGUGGAGGAGACUAGGGUGCCUUGGUGGUGGGAUCCCUUGAGUGUACACACCUGCCUUGUCUAGUUUAUUAGUGUGAGUGUGUGAUAGUGUGUUGCACUUGUGUUUUGGUGUGUUUUCUUUCUUUAGUUGUGUUUGUGUGUGGCAUCCCUGCCCCUCCACUGGUAAGCCUCAGCUCUGAAUACCUUUUUAAGCAUAUUUGUAUUUGAAUAUUUAUGAUUAUGUUUUUAUUCGGUGUUUUAAAUAAUUACCAAUAAAUUGUC